rnacentral:rRNA from 1 species
GAGUUUGAUCCUGGCUCAGGAUGAACGCUAGCGGCAGGCCUAACACAUGCAAGUCGAGGGGCAGCGGGGAUAAGCUUGCUUAUCCGCCGGCGACCGGCGCACGGGUGCGCAACGCGUAUAGAAUCUGCCCUGUACUGGGGAAUAGCCCAGAGAAAUUUGGAUUAAUGCCCCAUAGUAUGUAUUAGCGGCAUCGCUAUUACAUUAAAGGCUACGGUACAGGAUGACUAUGCGUCCCAUUAGUUAGUUGGUAAGGUAACGGCUUACCAAGGCGGCGAUGGGUAGGGGCCCUGAGAGGGGGAUCCCCCACACUGGUACUGAGACACGGACCAGACUCCUACGGGAGGCAGCAGUGAGGAAUAUUGGACAAUGGGCGGGAGCCUGAUCCAGCCAUGCCGCGUGCAGGAAGACGGUCCUAUGGAUUGUAAACUGCUUUUGUACGGGAAGAACAAGGGGCACGUGUGCCCUUCUGACGGUACCGUAAGAAUAAGGAUCGGCUAACUCCGUGCCAGCAGCCGCGGUAAUACGGAGGAUCCGAGCGUUAUCCGGAAUCAUUGGGUUUAAAGGGUCCGUAGGCGGGCCAUUAAGUCAGGGGUGAAAGUCUGCGGCUCAACCGUAGAAUUGCCCUUGAUACUGGUGGUCUUGAGUUAUGGUGAAGUAGCUAGAAUAUGUAGUGUAGCGGUGAAAUGCAUAGAUAUUACAUAGAAUACCGAUUGCGAAGGCAGGUUACUAACCAUAUACUGACGCUGAUGGACGAAAGCGUGGGGAGCGAACAGGAUUAGAUACCCUGAUAGUCCACGCCGUAACGAUGGAUACUAGCUGUCCGGGUGCAAAUCUGGGCGGCCAAGCGAAAGUGAUAAGUAUCCCACCUGGGGAGUACGUCCGCAAGGAUGAAACUCAAAGGAAUUGACGGGGGCCCGCACAAGCGGUGAGCAUGUGAUUUAAUUCGAUGAUACGCGAGACCUUACCAGGCUUAAUGUGGUCUGACAGCUUAGAGAAAGAGCUCUUCGGACAUCCACAGUGCUGCAUGAUGUCGUCAGCUC